rnacentral:misc_RNA from 1 species
CGCACCUUGCGCUCCUUGGUAUUCCUUGGAGCAUGCCUGUUUGAGUGUCGUGAAUUUCUCCAACUUGGACUUUUGUCCAACGCGGGUCCAUGGGUUUGCAACUUGUGUUGCUCACCUUAAAUACAGUACGCUGGACAACCAGUGAGUUGCUAGUUUCAUUGCUAACUUGCGUAAAUGUUGUCUGCUGCUAAUCACACAACGUGUGCCUCGUGCACACCCUCAUUUCUGACCUCAAAUCAGGUAGGACUACCCGCUGAACUUAA